rnacentral:rRNA from 1 species
UACGUAGGGGGCUAGCGUUGUCCGGAUUUAUUGGGCGUAAAGAGCGUGUAGGCGGCCAAGCAGGUCCGCUGUGAAAACUCGAGCUCAACCUCGAGACGCCGGUGGAAACCAUCAGACUAGAGUCCGGAAGAGGAGAGUGGAAUUCCUGGUGUAGCGGUGAAAUGCGCAGAUAUCAGGAAGAACACCCGUGGCUAAGGCGGCUCUCUAGUACGGUACUGACGCUGAGACGCGAAAGCGUGGGGAGCGAACAGG